UACCCCUCCACGGCAUCACCCGAUCACUGAUGAGCUCAAACGUGGCUGGUGGACAAGUUAAUAGCGUAGCUGCCUUUUGAGCGGGUUAGCUGCAAUCCGAAACGGAGAAAUCCGUGAAGGACUGCGGUCGGUCUUUUGCACCCAUUUUGCGGCUACUUC
rnacentral:ncRNA from 1 species